rnacentral:rRNA from 1 species
UACGUAGGGACCAAGCGUUGUUCGGAUUUACUGGGCGUAAAGGGCGCGUAGGCGGCGCGGUAAGUCACUUGUGAAAUCUCUGAGCUUAACUCAGAACGCCAAGUGAUACUGCAGUGCUAGAGUGUGGAAGGGGCAUCGGAAUCUUGGUGUAGCGGUGAAAUGCGUAGAUAAUCAAGAGGAACACCUGAGGUGAAAGACGGGUUGCU